ensembl:processed_transcript Gm20319 predicted gene, 20319
AGUAAGCUUCAAAACACUGGACCUGGGCAGAUAUCAACCCUCUAAGAGUUGGGGAAGAGCUACAAGGUCACUGAGGUAAUGCAAAAGUUCCUGCCCUCAGCAAUGACGGGGAAUGGAGAAUGGCUAGAAGAUGGAGUGUCUUGAAAGGUUUAUGCCCUUAGAGGACAAUACAAGAUUCCUAUUAAUGAAACACUGAUGAUGAUGAUGAUGACGAUGACAAUGACGAUAAUGGUGAGGACAAUGACAAUGACAGUGAUGAUUAUGGGAAGAUGAUGACGACGACAAAACAAUACCACCACAUGAGUAAUUACAGAUUUUAGAAGUUCACAUUUAUUGUAUAAUUUUACCCUUACAACAAUUCAAUGAGGUAGAUAUUAUUUCCACUUUACAUGAAGAGACUGAGAAUUUGAGAGCAAACAUGUGCUAUUGAAAUGCACAUUCACUACAGUAAAUGUUAUCCCAAAGCAUACAUCCUGACUCCAAAGUAAUUUUGUAUACAAUAUAAAGCUUACAAUGG